AGUCUUGGCUUCACUGUUCACUGUUGAAAUGGCAUCGUCAGGAUCUGUAGUGAGAUUCCGUGCAAUACUGAUUUGUUUUCUGGUUUUACAAAAACUUGAUUUAUCGGUGACUCUGCCGUUACUAAACGUGGUUGCAACCACCGCAGCAGAUGUCUGGAGAGAAUUGACUGGGAGAGAUAUUGAUGUAGACGUAGGCAUACGAACCCCAGUGCUUAAUGGUAAGUCCGUGAAUAUAACGCACCAUGCUCGCGACUAUUUGUACAAAUUUCUUUCUUCAGAGCAAAUCAAUUGGACUGAAGAUGGAUUUAGACAAAGUGGAUCUUUUGGUAAGAAAUCUUUUUUUUUUCUUAUCAUGGAAAUGAAUAAACUAUUCAAAUCUUUUCUUUUCCCUUUUAUAGGUGAUAUAAUCGAAUGGCGUUUGGUGACCAAUCCUGAGCCUAAUCAGCCCAAAUUCACAUGGAGAGGUGAGUAUUUUCAUAUGUUACUAGGCGCUUUACACACAUAUGCUAAACCGAGAGGAUAUUUAGGCAGUUUAUAGCCACAGAUUUUUCCGUACACA